UGGAUUUCUAUUAGCCAGAUU
rnacentral:piRNA from 1 species